rnacentral:rRNA from 1 species
UACGUAGGGGGCUAGCGUUGUCCGGAAUCAUUGGGCGUAAAGAGCGUGUAGGCGGUCCGGUAAGUCCGCUGUGAAAGUCGGGGGCUCAACCCUCGAAUGCCGGUGGAUACUGUCGGGCUAGAGUGCGGAAGAGGCGAGUGGAAUUCCUGGUGUAGCGGUGAAAUGCGCAGAUAUCAGGAGGAACACCUAUUGCGAAGGCAGCUCGCUGGGACGUUACUGACGCUGAGACGCGGAAGCGUGGGGAGCAAACAGG